rnacentral:rRNA from 1 species
UACGUAGGGUCCGAGCGUUGUCCGGAGUUACUGGGCGUAAAGCGCGUGUAGGCGGCUUUGCAAGUCGGGUGUGAAAGCCCUCAGCUCAACUGAGGAAGUGCGGCCGAAACUGCAGAGCUUGAGUGCCGGAGAGGGUGGCGGAAUUCCCCAAGUAGAGGUGAAAUUCGUAGAUAUGGGGAGGAACACCGGUGGCGAAGGCGGCCACCUGGACGGUAACUGACGCUGAGACGCGAAAGCGUGGGGAGCAAACAGG